GGUUAAGCGACUAAGCGUACACGGUGGAUGCCCUGGCAGUCAGAGGCGAUGAAGGACGUGCUAAUCUGCGAAAAGCGUCGGUAAGGUGAUAUGAACCGUUACAGCCGGCGAUGUCCGAAUGGGGAAACCCAGUGUGAUUCGUCACACUAUCGUUAACUGAAUACAUAGGUUAACGAGGCGAACCGGGGGAACUGAAACAUCUAAGUACCCCGAGGAAAAGAAAUCAACCGAGAUUCCCCCAGUAGCGGCGAGCGAACGGGGAGCAGCCCAGAGUCUGAAUCAGCUUGUGUGUUAGUGGAACGGUCUGGAAAGUCCGACGGUACAGGGUGAUAGUCCCGUACACCAAAAUGCACAGGCUGUGAACUCGAAGAGUAGGGCGGGACACGUGGUAUCCUGUCUGAAUAUGGGGGACCAUCCUCCAAGGCUAAAUACUCCUGACUGACCGAUAGUGAACCAGUACCGUGAGGGAAAGGCGAAAAGAACCCCGGCGAGGGGAGUGAAAAAGAACCUGAAACCGUGUACGUACAAGCAGUGGGAGCACCUUCGGGUGUGACUGCGUACCUUUUGUAUAAUGGGUCAGCGACUUAUAUUCUGUAGCAAGGUUAACCGUAUAGGGGAGCCGCAGGGAAACCGAGUCUUAACUGGGCGUUAAGUUGCAGGGUAUAGACCCGAAACCCGGUGAUCUAGCCAUGGGCAGGUUGAAGGUUGGGUAACACUAACUGGAGGACCGAACCGACUAAUGUUGAAAAAUUAGCGGAUGACUUGUGGCUGGGGGUGAAAGGCCAAUCAAACCGGGAGAUAGCUGGUUCUCCCCGAAAGCUAUUUAGGUAGCGCCUCGUGAAUUCAUCUUCGGGGGUAGAGCACUGUUUCGGCUAGGGGGUCAUCCCGACUUACCAACCCGAUGCAAACUACGAAUACCGAAGAAUGUUAUCACGGGAGACACACGGCGGGUGCUAACGUCCGUCGUGAAGAGGGAAACAACCCAGACCGCCAGCUAAGGUCCCAAAGUCAUGGUUAAGUGGGAAACGAUGUGGGAAGGCACAGACAGCCAGGAUGUUGGCUUAGAAGCAGCCAUCAUUUAAAGAAAGCGUAAUAGCUCACUGGUCGAGUCGGCCUGCGCGGAAGAUGUAACGGGGCUAAACCAUGCACCGAAGCUGCGGCAGCGACACUAUGUGUUGUUGGGUAGGGGAGCGUUCUGUAAGCCUGCGAAGGUGACCUGUGAGGGUUGCUGGAGGUAUCAGAAGUGCGAAUGCUGACAUAAGUAACGAUAAAGCGGGUGAAAAGCCCGCUCGCCGGAAGACCAAGGGUUCCUGUCCAACGUUAAUCGGGGCAGGGUGAGUCGACCCCUAAGGCGAGGCCAAAAGGCGUAGUCGAUGGGAAACAGGUUAAUAUUCCUGUACUUGGUGUUACUGCGAAGGGGGGACGGAGAAGGCUAUGUUAGCCGGGCGACGGUUGUCCCGGUUUAAGCAUGUAGGCUGGUUGUCCAGGCAAAUCCGGAUAAUCAAGGCUGAGGUGUGAUGACGAGGCACUACGGUGCUGAAGUAACAAAUGCCCUGCUUCCAGGAAAAGCCUCUAAGCAUCAGGUAACAUCAAAUCGUACCCCAAACCGACACAGGUGGUCAGGUAGAGAAUACCAAGGCGCUUGAGAGAACUCGGGUGAAGGAACUAGGCAAAAUGGUGCCGUAACUUCGGGAGAAGGCACGCUGGUGUGUAGGUGAAGCCCCUGCGGGUGGAGCUGAGACCAGUCGAAGAUACCAGCUGGCUGCAACUGUUUAUUAAAAACACAGCACUGUGCAAACACGAAAGUGGACGUAUACGGUGUGACGCCUGCCCGGUGCCGGAAGGUUAAUUGAUGGGGUUAUCCGUAAGGAGAAGCUCUUGAUCGAAGCCCCGGUAAACGGCGGCCGUAACUAUAACGGUCCUAAGGUAGCGAAAUUCCUUGUCGGGUAAGUUCCGACCUGCACGAAUGGCGUAAUGAUGGCCAGGCUGUCUCCACCCGAGACUCAGUGAAAUUGAACUCGCUGUGAAGAUGCAGUGUACCCGCGGCAAGACGGAAAGACCCCGUGAACCUUUACUAUAGCUUGACACUGAACAUUGAGCCUUGAUGUGUAGGAUAGGUGGGAGGCUUUGAAGCGUGGACGCCAGUCUGCGUGGAGCCAACCUUGAAAUACCACCCUUUAAUGUUUGAUGUUCUAACGUUGGCCCCUGACCGGGGUUGCGGACAGUGUCUGGUGGGUAGUUUGACUGGGGCGGUCUCCUCCCAAAGCGUAACGGAGGAGCACGAAGGUUAGCUAAUCCUGGUCGGACAUCAGGAGGUUAGUGCAAUGGCAUAAGCUAGCUUGACUGCGAGCGUGACGGCGCGAGCAGGUGCGAAAGCAGGUCAUAGUGAUCCGGUGGUUCUGAAUGGAAGGGCCAUCGCUCAACGGAUAAAAGGUACUCCGGGGAUAACAGGCUGAUACCGCCCAAGAGUUCAUAUCGACGGCGGUGUUUGGCACCUCGAUGUCGGCUCAUCACAUCCUGGGGCUGAAGUAGGUCCCAAGGGUAUGGCUGUUCGCCAUUUAAAGUGGUACGCGAGCUGGGUUUAGAACGUCGUGAGACAGUUCGGUCCCUAUCUGCCGUGGGCGCUGGAGAAUUGAGGGGGGCUGCUCCUAGUACGAGAGGACCGGAGUGGACGCAUCACUGGUGUUCGGGUUGUCAUGCCAAUGGCACUGCCCGGUAGCUAAAUGCGGAAGAGAUAAGUGCUGAAAGCAUCUAAGCACGAAACUUGCCCCGAGAUGAGUUCUCCCUGAGACUUUAAGUCUCCUGAAGGAACGUUGAAGACGAUGACGUUGAUAGGCCGGGUGUGUAAGCGCAGCGAUGCGUUGAGCUAACCGGUACUAAUGAACCGUGAGGCUUAACCUU
rnacentral:rRNA from 1 species